AUAAGAAAUCACAAAGGAGAUUAUGAAUGAUUUGAGAAAUAUAUAUUUAAUGAAAAAAAUAAUAGAAAGAAAUUAGGAUGAGGGAAAGCGCAUGUGGCACUUCCUCUAUCUUCUGCUGGCGCUCCUGUCCUCCGCAGGUGCUCGCUGUCCUCCAAUGGCACUCCACUUCUAUCCUCUGACAGCGCGCUAGUAACCUCCGCAGGUGUGCUUCCUCUAAUCUCCGCCGGCGCGUUGCAUCUAUACUCCGAUGGCGCUCCCGUCCGCCGCAGGUGCUCCCUGUUCUCUGCAGAUGCUCCCGUCCUCUGCAGGCGCUCGCUGUCCUCUGCUGGUGCUCCACAUCUAUCCUCCAAUGGCACACAACCUGUAACCUCCGCCAGGGUGCUACCUCUUAUCCUCUGCUGGCGCGCUACCUCUAUCUUCUGACGGUGCUCUGUCCUCGGCAGGCGCUCCCUAUUCUCCGCAGGUGCUCCCGUCCUCUACAGGUGCUUGCCGCCCUCAGCAGGUGCUCCACCUCUGUCUUCUGGAAGCGCGCUAUCUCUAAACUCCACUGACGCGCUACCUCUAUCGUCUGACGGUGCUCCCAUUCUCUGCAGACGUUCCCUGUUCUCCGCAGGUGCUCCCAUCCUCCGCAGAUGCUCCAUCACUAUCAUCCAAUGGCGCGCUACCUCUAUCUUCUGACAGUGCUCCUGUCAUCCGCCGGCACUCCCUGUUCUCCUCAGCUACUCCCAUCCUCCGCAAAUGCUCCACAUCUAUCCUCCGACGGCGCACUAUCUGUAACCUCCACCAGUGUCCUACCUCCUAUCUUCUGCUGGCGCUCUACCUCUAUCCACUGGCGGCACACUACGUCUAUCCGUUGCUGGUGUGUUACCACUAAACUCAGCCAGCGAGAUACCUCUAUCUUCUAACGGCGCUCCAGUCCUCCGCAGGUGCUUCCUGUUUUCCUCAGGUGCUCUCGUCCUCUGCAGGCACUCGCUGUCCUCCACAGGCACUCCACCUCUAUCAUCUGACAGAACACUACAUCCAACCUCGGCCGGUGCACUACAUCCAUCCUCCAAUGGCAAGCUACCUCUAACCUCCGCUGGCGUGCUACCUCAAUCUUCUGACGGUGCUCCCAUCCCCCACAGGUGCCGCACCUCUUUCCUCUGCUGGCGCACUUCCUCAAUCCUCUGCCGGUGCACUACCUCUACACUCUGAUGAUGUUCCCAUACUGUGCAGGCAAUCCCUGUUCUCCACAGGUGCUCCUGUCCUCUACAGGCGCUCACCGUCCUCUGGAGGCAAUCCACCUCAAUCUUCUGAAGGCAUGCUAUUGCAAAACCCAGCCAGCGAAUUACUUCUAUUUUCUUACGGUGCUCCCAUCGUCCGCAGGCGCUCCCUGUUCUACGCAGGUGCUCCCAUCCUCCGUAGAAACUCCACCUCUAUCAUCGGAUGGCGAAACAGAACCUCCACCUUGAUGCUCCGACAGCGCACUACCGGUAACCUCCGCCUGUGCACUAUCUUCUACCUCUAUCUUCCGAUCGCGCUCCUGUCAUUUGCAGGCACACCUUGUUCUCUGCAGGUGCUCCCGUACUCCGUAGAAACUCCACCUCUAUCAUCGGAUGGCGCACUACAUCUAACCUCUGCCAGCAAACAAACUCUGUUUUCUGACGGUGAUCCCAUCCUCUGCAAUCACUCCCUGUUCUCCACAGGUGCUCCUUUCAACCACUGACAUUCUACCUCUAUCCACGAACAGCACACUACCUCUAACCUCCGAUAGCGCGCUAACUCUUAUCCUCUGCCAGGAUGCUACUGCUAACCUCCGACGGCGCACGACCUCUAUCUUCAGAUGGUGCUCCCGUCAUCUGCAGGUGCUCCCUGUUUUCCGCAGGUGCUCCUGUCCUCGGCAGAUGCUCCACCUCUAUCCCGUGAUGGCACACUACAUAUAACCUCUGCCGGCGCACUAAUUCUGUCUUCUGACGGCGCUCCUGUCCUCCACAGUCACUCCCUGUUCACCACAGGUGCUCCCAUCCUCCGCAGACCCUCAACGUCGAUCCAGUGACAGAGCACUACCUCUAACCUCUGCCAGCAUGCUACCUCUUUCUUCUGACAGCGCACCCAUCAUCUGCAGGCGCUCCUUGUUCUCCACAGGUGCUCCUGUCCUCUGCAGAUGCUCCACCUUUAUCCUCUGAUGAUGCACUACAUCUAACCUCUGCCGGCGCACUAACUAUGCCUUCUGACAGUGCUCCCGUCCUCCAGAGGUGCUCCCUGUUCUCCGCAGGUGCUACGAUCCUCCGCAGACCCUCCACCUCGAUCCUCUGAUGGCACACUACCUCUAACCUCUGCCGGCGCACUACCUCUAUCUUCUAACCACGCUCCCAUCAUCUGCAAGCAGUCUCUGUUCUCCGCAGAUGCUCUCGUCCUCCGCAAACGCUCCAACUCGAUCCUCUGAUGAUGCACUACAUGUAACCUCUGCCGGCGCACUAACUCUGUCUUCUGAUGGUGCUCCUGUCCUUGGCAAUCGCUUCCUGUUCUCCGCAGGUGCUCCCAUCCUCCGCAGAAGUUCCAGCUCUAUCCUCUGAGAGUGCACUACCUCUAUCCUCUGCCGGGGCACUAACUAUGCAUUCUGACAGUGCUGCCAUCAUCUACAGAUGUUCUGUGUUCUCUGCAGGUAACCCCAUCAACCACAGGUGCUUUACAUCUAUCCUCUGAAGGCACACUACAUCUAACCUCUGCCGGCGCACUAACUAUGCCUGCUGACAGCACUCCUGUCCUCCGCAGGUGCUCCCUGUUCUCAUGAGGUACUCCGAUCCUCCGCAGACACUCCACCUUGAUCCUCUGAUGGCACACUACCUCUAACCUCUGCUGGCACAAUACCUAUAUCUUCUAACCACGCUCCCAUCAUCUGUAAGCAGUCUCUGUUCUCCACAGAUGGUCUUGUCCUCCGCAGACGCUCCAACUCGAUCCUCUGAUGAUGCACUACAUCUAACCUCUGCCGGCGCACUAUGUCUUCUGACAGCGCUCCUGUCCUCCGCAGGUGCUCCCUGUUCGCUGCAGGUGCUCCCAUCCUUCGCAGACCCUCCACCUCGAUCCUCUGAUGGCACAAUACCUCUAACCUCUGCUGGCGCACUACCUCUAUCUCCUAACCACGCUCCCAUCAUCUGCAAGUGGUCUCUGUUCGCCGCAGAUGCUCUUGUCCUCCGCAGACGCUUCACGUAUAUCCUCUGAUGAUGCACUACCUCUAAACUCUGCCGGCGCACUACCUCUAUCUUCUGACAACGCUCCCAUCAUCUGCCGGCGCUCUGUGCUCUCUGCAGUUGCUCCUAUCCUCCGCAGAUGCUCCACUUAUAUCCUCUGAAGGCACACUGCAUCUAACCUCUGCCGGCGCACUAACUAAGCCUUCUGACAGCGCUCCCGUCCUCCGCACAUGCUCCCUGUUCUCCGCAGGUGCUCCUAUGCUCCACAGAUGCUCCACCUCUAUUUUCUGAAGGCACACUACAUCUAACCUCUGCCGGCGCACUAACUAUGCCUUCUAACAGCGCUCCCGUCCUCCACAGGUGCUCCCUGUUCUCCGCAGGUGCUCCGAUCCUCCGCAGACCCUCCGCCUCGAUCCUCUGAUGGCACAAUACCUCUAACCUCUGCCGGCGCACUACCUCAAUCUUCUAACCACGCUCCCAUUAUCUGCAAGCCGUCUGUGUUCUCCGCAGAUGCUCUUGUCCUCUGCAGACGCUCCACAUCUAUCCUCAGACAGCGCACUACAUCUGACCUCUGCUGGCGCACUACCUCUAUCUUCUGACAAUACUCCCAACAUCUGCAGGCACUCCUUGACCUCCGCAGAUGCUCUUGUCCUCUGCAGACGCUCCACAUCUGUUCUCGGAUGAUGCACUACAUCUAACCUCUGCCAGCGCACUAACUCUGUCUUCUGAUGCUGCUCCUGUCCUUGGCAAUUGCUUCCUGUUCUCCGCAGGUGCUCCUAUCCUCCGCAGAUGCUCCACCUCUAUCCUCUGAAGGCACACUACAUCUAACCUUUGCCGGCGCACUAACUAUGCCUUCUGACAGCGCUCCCGUCCUCCGCACGUGCUCCCUGUUCUCCUCCGGUGCUCCGAUCCUCCGCAGACACUCCACCUCAAUCCUCUGAUGGCA
rnacentral:lncRNA from 1 species